GGGAACUACGAGCAUAAGCUUAAAACCCAAAGGACUUGGCGGUGCUUUAGACCCCCCUAGAGGAGCCUGUUCUAGAACCGAUAACCCCCGUUCGACCUCACCUUUUCUUGUUCAUCCCGUCUAUAUACCGCCGUCGUCAGCAUACCCUGUGAAGGAAACAUAGUAGGCAAAACUGGUAAAACCCAAAACGCCAGGUCGAGGUGUAGCAUACGAAAAGGAAAGAAAUGGGCUACAUUUCCUCUUACAGGAAAUACGAAUUGUGUCAUGAAACAACACAUGAAGGAGGAUUUAGCAGUAAGCAAAAAC
rnacentral:rRNA from 1 species